CACGUAGGGGACGAGCGUUGUCCGGAUUCAUUGGGCGUAAAGCGCGCGUAGGCGGCUCGGUAAGUCGGAUGUGAAAUCCCAGGGCUCAACCCUGGAACUGCAUUCGAUACUGCCUGGCUAGGGUACUGGAGAGGAGACUGGAAUUUACGGUGUAGCAGUGAAAUGCGUAGAUAUCGUAAGGAAGACCAGUGGCGAAGGCGAGUCUCUGGACAGUUACCGACGCUGAGGCACGAAGGUCAGGGGAGCAAACGGG
rnacentral:rRNA from 1 species